rnacentral:piRNA from 1 species
UAUAAUGCUUGUAUUUCGUGUCUUCAAGGA